rnacentral:rRNA from 1 species
GUCUACAGUCAAACCACCCUGUAUGCACCCUAUCUCCUCUGAUCUCACAAGCUAAGCAGGGUUGGGCCUGUUUAGUACAAAAAAGAUAAAACAAACAACCAUGGGGG